AUUGAACGCUGGCGGAAUGCUUUACACAUGCAAGUCGAGCGGCAGCACGGACUUCGGUCUGGUGGCGAGUGGCGAACGGGUGAGUAAUAUAUCGGAACGUGCCCAGUCGUGGGGGAUAACGUAGUGAAAAUUACGCUAAUACCGCAUACGAUCUAUGGAUGAAAGCGGGGGAUCGCAAGACCUCGCGCGAUUGGAGCGGCCGAUAUCAGAUUAGGUAGUUGGUGAGGUAAAGGCUCACCAAGCCAACGAUCUGUAGCUGGUCUGAGAGGACGACCAGCCACACUGGAACUGAGACACGGUCCAGACUCCUACGGGAGGCAGCAGUGGGGAAUUUUGGACAAUGGACGCAAGUCUGAUCCAGCCAUUCCGCGUGCAGGACGAAGGCCUUCGGGUUGUAAACUGCUUUUGUACAGAACGAAAAGGUUUCUAUUAAUACUAGGGGCUCAUGACGGUACUGUAAGAAUAAGCACCGGCUAACUACGUGCCAGCCGCCGCAGUAA
rnacentral:rRNA from 1 species